CCUACGGGUGGCAGCAGUGGGGAAUAUUGGACAAUGGGCGAAAGCCUGAUCCAGCCAUGCCGCGUGUGUGAAGAAGGCCUUCGGGUUGUAAAGCACUUUCAGUGGGGAAGAAAGCCUUGGGGCUAAUACCCUCGAGGAAGGACAUCACCCACAGAAGAAGCACCGGCUAACUCCGUGCCAGCAGCCGCGGUAAUACGGAGGGUGCGAGCGUUAAUCGGAAUUACUGGGCGUAAAGCGCGCGUAGGCGGUCUGAUAAGCCGGUUGUGAAAGCCCCGGGCUCAACCUGGGAACGGCAUCCGGAACUGUCAGGCUAGAGUGCAGGAGAGGAAGGUAGAAUUCCCGGUGUAGCAGUGAAAUGCGUAGAGAUCGGGAGGAAUACCAGUGGCGAAGGCGGCCUUCUGGACUGACACUGACGCUGAGGUGCGAAAGCGUGGGUAGCGAACAGGAUUAGAUACCCGAGUAGUC
rnacentral:rRNA from 1 species